rnacentral:sRNA from 1 species
UCGCCAUUGGCUCAAGAAUGGUUUUCAGCUUCUGGCUCCGAUGCCGGACAUUCUUUUGUCGUAUUGUGAGGAUUGUGAUCGAGAUGCUGCUGCCGCCUCAAAGGAGAAGAAUCCAACA